GGGCCCGUAGCUCAGCACGGACAGUAGCGUCGGCCCUCUAUCGAGCCGAGGAAAGCCGAAGGUCGAGGGUUCAAAUCCCUCCGGGCCCG
rnacentral:tRNA from 1 species